GUCGAGCUGUGUAACGCGAGCUUGUAACCCGAGUGGGGGCGUUAAGGUGUUUGGACAUUGUUCUAGCCCAACUGGCUGGAUUCAGGCUUGCAGAUUACUGGCCUGCCCGUUCCAAGCAAGGAAUUGGGCCGUGUGGUUCAAGCGAAAGCAUGAAUUGCCUGGCUCCUAGAGUGGGGGAGAACGCGUCAGGCUGGUUUCACAGAGCAGCGAUAACCCCCCAUCCCUUGCAGUGGGAGGAUAACGGGCCGGAGCAAUCUGAACCAUCAAAAGUCAGAUGGGCUUGUCCAAAUUGGACAUCCACUUUU
rnacentral:SRP_RNA from 1 species